GGUCUUUAGUCUCCACCACUCCUCCUGGAGACUAGCGAUCAGCGCGUGUUGUGCGGAUGCUUCAGAAAGAACUAAACACCACGCAACGGUGCGCAGCCGCUACCAAGGAAAUAUCUAAUCUUUGGGUAGAGGUCCAGCAGCAGGAAUGACCUAAAGAGACGCCGAGAACUAUGCGAGCGUGACCGUGCCUUUACAAUUACCAAAUCUGAGGUCAACCAUCAUUAGGAAGAAGGUAAAUGAUCUGCGAGUGCAUCAGCCUGUGCAAGUGUCUAAGCCUGCUCCC